CCCUUAGAUGUUCUGGGCCGCACGCGCGCUACACUGAUGCGUUCAACAAGCUUCCUUGGCCGAGAGGCCUGGGCAAUCUUCUUAAUAUGUAUCGUGAUAGGGAUAGAUUAUUGCAAUUAUUAAUCUUGAACGAGGAAUUCCUAGUAAACGCAGAUCAUCAAUCUGCAUUGAUUACGUCCCUGCCCUUUGUACACACCGCCCGUCGCACCUACCGAUUGGAUGUUCCGGUGAAGCCUCGGGAUGAGGACUGGUGCCUUUAUUGGCAUGAGUUGUUCAGAACUUGUCUAAACCUUAUCAUCUAGAGGAAGGUGAAGUCGUAACA
rnacentral:rRNA from 1 species